UUUCCGUAGGUGAACCUGCGGAAGGAUCAUUAAUAAUGCCCUCUGGCUUCGGUCAGCUGGGUUCAAUGUGUGUCAUCUCUUCGGAGAUGGCCAUCCACACACACCGUGAACUGUGACUUCGGUCAUCACAAACUUUUAGUAAUGAAUGUAAAAAUCAUAACAAAAUAAAACUUUUAACAACGGAUCUCUUGGCUCUC
rnacentral:misc_RNA from 1 species